GUCAUCAGCUCUAGACUCAUAAUCCGGGAGCAAUGAAUAGUGACGGCUCAUUUUCUCUCUAACUGGCUUGUUUUGUUGCACACUUCCACUCUGAGCACUUCUGACCUUUUUUCCUAAUCCUUCACUCAUUGUCAGGCACUCAGGCUUUGCCAAUCCAAUACGUUUUCUGAAUUCUCCUUUAUCCCUUUGCAUGGUCACAUUAACAUGGGGGCAUAUAAUCAAAAAGAGAAAGCAGCGAAGGACUGGAGUGAACGUCAAAAAUUAGAGAACCUAUAGACUACAUCUGACUAAGUUACGCACUUCCGGAGCAAAUUUGGCCUUUUUCGCAUCUCCAGGUUCACUUGGAAGGUUGUUGCCCCAACACCACGACUUUCGCUGCCUCUGAUUUUUCCUCAUCGGCAUCCUUCUUCUACUCUUCACAAUAUUUUAUGCAAGAGCAUAGUAAAAUUCUCUGUUUGCAAUUGGAGAGGACCUAUGAAAAGGUCGCAUGAUAAAGGCAUCACUUGGUCCGUAGGCUCACCAAAGUCCUAUCAUUGCUCUUCACCACUUCAUUGGAUAGAAACACAGAUGCACACAAUCAAAAAAGGAACGCAGCAAAGGAUUGGGGUUGAUGAAGAACACGGCCAAGAAUUAUGUUGAUUUCCUCUGACUUCCAAAGUUUGGAAGUACUUUCAGGUUUAUGUAUUGACUAAGCUAGAUGCAUGCACAGUCAAGUUUGGAAGUAUUGUUCUGAGAUCGUCACAACUGUGUUUUGCAGUUCACAACCAAGCAAUGAAGACUAAGCAAGAAACAAAGAAGCGGAAAGACCCUUCUCUAGAGAUUAAUGCCUCCUCCUGAGAAAUAUUAAUCAGCAUCGAUCUUGGUUGCCGCUCGGAAUAGCACAAAGGGCCAUCUUGUCGGUAACACCUGAAAAAAUUAGAUAGUAUGACUCCAAAGUGCAAGCUGGAGAAAUAAGAGGUUGGUCUUUAUCUUCAUCCAAGAUCUAAGAAGCACCGAUACAGAGGCAAGCAAGGCAGGAGUUGAUCCUUUUGUUAUUGGAUCCAUUUAAGAUCCAAACAUUUAGGAGGGCAGCCAUAGAGGCAAUUAUGGUGCAAUUAUGAUUUGGAAGGUUGUUAAACCUGAUAAUAAGUCUAUUCCUUUUGAUAUGUCAGCUUAUUAUGUUUUUUGUUAGUUUGAGCUAUAAAAAUAGCAUUUUGUUACUACUAACAAGCAAGUAAAUGUAAUGGAGGACUAAUAAAGCCUUAGUCAUUAGAUUAAUUUCUAUAUAUGAAGCAUCUGUAAAUUUUUAUAUAUUAAUAGCAUGGAUGUUAAUUGUUAUGGUAUUA